GUCCUUUCUCUCGGCGAAUUUCACUCUAAAAAAUCACCGAAGGAGACAGCAGUGAGUGGGGUGGCUUGUGUGUCAGAGUGACGGCGCCUCCUUCCACGAAACAUGCCCCGUGUCGUCCUGUCUCUCUCCUUCCCCGGUCUCUUCUGCCCUUCCUUGUCUUUCUGUUCCUCUCUCUGCCUUUCUUCCGUUCUCCGUUCCUCGCAUCUUUGUCUUUCUCUUCUUCUCCGCGCAUUUGCUCCUCGUGCCCUCCGUUCUGUGUGUCGGCUGGAGAAGAGUCUCUCAGGUCUUCGGAAAAGAAGUCUCUUGUCUCUCGUCGGCUUCCGCGGCGAAGCGCGCGAUAGGCGGCCGAGGUUACUUCUUCCUUCCUCUUCCAAAGGCGAGACGAGCGAGCGAGUCUUUGAUACAGUUCUCGUCCCGUGUGUCUCGCAUGCAUGCUCCACCUACUUUACCUGCAUUUCCUGUGUGUCUGCGGUCUCUCGAAACUCGGGAGACCUCCGGAGUGUGUUGUCGGUCGAUUCUCUCUGCUGCUUCUCUGUUUCCGGGCAGCGUUCGCCGAGGGCGCCGCAUGCGAAUCUGCAGGAACAGAGAACGAGAGGUGCCUAGACGCCUUCCUUCCUUCUUCGCCUUCUGACAUGUCUCUCCUCGCGUUCACUCCCCGGACUUCACUGAACGCAGACGAAGGCAGAGAAGUCUGCAUCGAGAGGGAAUCACUGCUGCAAAAAAAAGAAGAUGUCUGGCGCGUCUCGUCUCCUCGGUUGUCUCGUUCGUCUGCACAGUUAAACAAAGCUGUUCACACAAAGGGGUGUGUACGGAUAUAAAUGCGCAUACACAGUAACCAAUCUGUCCACAAAUAGUAUACAUAUAUAAAUGUAU
rnacentral:lncRNA from 1 species